rnacentral:rRNA from 1 species
UACGUAGGGGGCUAGCGUUGUCCGGAUUUAUUGGGCGUAAAGCGCGUGUAGGCGGCCAGAAAAGUCCGCUGUGAAAACUCGAGGCUCAACUUCGAGCUGUCGGUGGAAACUUUCUGGCUAGAGUCCGGAAGAGGAGAAUGGAAUUCCUGGUGUAGCGGUGAAAUGCGCAGAUAUCAGGAAGAACACCCGUGGCGAAGGCGGUUCUCUGGGACGGUACUGACGCUGAGACGCGAAAGCGUGGGGAGCGAACAGG